rnacentral:rRNA from 1 species
UACGUAGGGUGCAAGCGUUGCCCGGAUUUAUUGGGCGUAAAGGGCGCGUAGGCGGCUUGGCAAGUGGAAGGUGAAAUCCCUCGGCUUAACCGAGGAACUGCCCUCCAAACUGCUUGGCUUGAGACCGGGAGAGGUGAGUGGAAUUCCCAGUGUAGCGGUGAAAUGCGUAGAUAUUGGGAGGAACACCAGUGGCGAAGGCGGCUCACUGGACCGGUACUGACGCUGAUGCGCGAAAGCGUGGGGAGCAAACGGG